UGGGGAAUAUUGGACAAUGGGCGCAAGCCUGAUCCAGCCAUGCCGCGUGUGUGAAGAAGGCCUUCGGGUUGUAAAGCACUUUUGUCCGGAAAGAAAAGCUUUGGGUUAAUACCCCGAAGUCAUGACGGUACCGGAAGAAUAAGCACCGGCUAACUUCGUGCCAGCAGCCGCGGUAAUACGAAGGGUGCAAGCGUUACUCGGAAUUACUGGGCGUAAAGCGUGCGUAGGUGGUUCGUUAAGUCUGAUGUGAAAGCCCUAGGCUCAACCUGGGAAUUGCAUUGGAUACUGGCGAGCUAGAGUGCGGUAGAGGAUAGUGGAAUUCCCGGUGUAGCAGUGAAAUGCGUAGAGAUCGGGAGGAACAUCUGUGGCGAAGGCGACUAUCUGGGCCAGCACUGACACUGAGGCACGAAAGCGUGGGGAGCAAACAGGAUUAGAUACCCAAGUAGUCCCUGAGCGGGCUGGCAAGGCGCAU
rnacentral:rRNA from 1 species